AUGAACGCUGGCGGCGUGCCUAAUACAUGCAAGUCGAGCGAACAGACGAGGAGCUUGCUCCUCUGACGUUAGCGGCGGACGGGUGAGUAACACGUGGAUAACCUACCUAUAAGACUGGGAUAACUUCGGGAAACCGGAGCUAAUACCGGAUAAUAUAUUGAACCGCAUGGUUCAAUAGUGAAAGACUGUUUUGCUGUCACUUAUAGAUGGAUCCGCGCCGCAUUAGCUAGUUGGUAAGGUAACGGCUUACCAAGGCGACGAUGCGUAGCCGACCUGAGAGGGUGAUCGGCCACACUGGAACUGAGACACGGUCCAGACUCCUACGGGAGGCAGCAGUAGGGAAUCUUCCGCAAUGGGCGAAAGCCUGACGGAGCAACGCCGCGUGAGUGAUGAAGGUCUUCGGAUCGUAAAACUCUGUUAUUAGGGAAGAACAAAUGUGUAAGUAACUAUGCACGUCUUGACGGUACCUAAUCAGAAAGCCACGGCUAACUACGUG
rnacentral:rRNA from 1 species